UGGGGAAUUUUGCACAAUGGGGGAAACCCUGAUGCAGCGACGCCGCGUGAUUUAGAAGGCCUUCGGGUUGUAAAAAUCUUUUCUAUGGGAAGAAAAUGACAGUACCAUAGGAAUAAGGACCGGCUAAUUACGUGCCAGCAGCCGCGGUAAUACGUAAGGUCCGAGCGUUGUCCGGAAUCAUUGGGCGUAAAGGGUACGUAGGCGGGUAAGCAAGUUAGAAGUGAAAUCCUAUAGCUCAACUAUAGUAAGCUUUUAAAACUGCUCAUCUUGAGGUAUGGAAGGGAAAAUGGAAUUCCUAGUGUAGCGGUGAAAUGCGCAGAUAUUAGGAGGAAUACCGGUGGCGAAGGCGACUUUCUGGCCAUAACCUGACGCUGAGGUACGAAAGCGUGGGUAGCAAACAGG
rnacentral:rRNA from 1 species